CGACCCAGGGCCCUUGUCCUUUGCACCCUCCCCUUGAUCUGUGUUCUCCAGUGACAUCCUUGAGGUGGAAACCUGUGUGAAGCAGAUGUCACUGCCUGGCAUUCUGAAGAUGGCACCUCGCCCCACCCCUGCAGCAGCUGGUGAGAUGACAGAUGGCCACCAGCUGGGGAGGAAUGGCAGAGGCAUGGCCGGUGCCCAGUGGGCAGGAAGAUCUUAGGGAGUGCUGUCCAUAAAAUGUGGAGCUCAAGAUAUGAGGUCAACCGCUACCUGAGAAGACCGGCCCACAACCACCACCUCAGUCUGCCUGGAGGAUGGAUGAAGCACUGCCUUGUGACUUGAACCCAGUGUGAUCUGCAAGCCACUUGUCUGCCUAGGCUGUUCCACCACCUGAAAGGUCCAACGCCUCUCCCUUGCAGGUGGACUGAGGGUUAAGGCUGGAUCCCUGCAGGUGCUAAGUGGCUGGGGGAGUGGGCAGUGGCAGCACACAAUGGCAGGAUGCUUCUGGGACCUCUGGCCUCCUCCUAAAGGAUUUGAGAAUGAUCACUCAAAAAGCAAGUACUUUUUCUGCUCCCCAAGCAUGCUACAGGCACACUGUGCAUGCUGGACAAGUGUGUGAGGAGUGGGCGGCUGAGGAGAUGAACCACCCCAGGAUAUGUGCCAGGAUCUGCCCAGGCCAACGGGCACAGGGCAGUGCUAACCUUGGGAGGAGUAGCCUGGCGGUAUUUGGCACAGAUCUACGAGCCAGCAGUUAGGAGUCAUCAUUUACGGGAAAUGCACCAUUGAGGAGAAAUGGCCCAGCCUGGCUCCCGUCCAGAUGUCCAGAAACGGCAAGGCAGCUGCUGGCGUCACUCAGUAAAUUCAGCUCAGCCCCUCCCCGUGUAAAGCUGGGCAGGGAUCCAGCCCAGUCCUGGCUAUGUACCCAUGCCCUUCCCUGUUUAGCAAAAACAAAAACAAAACAAGCCCCACUUACUUAACCUUCUUGGGUGUGAAGUUAAGUCUGCCUUUUGCCAGUUGGGAGAUCUUGAACAAGUUGUAAAAGUAUCUCUGCUCCUCAGUGCUUGCCUGUGAGACGAGGAACUUCUGGGGCUAUUGGAUGAAACAACGUUGUUGUUGGUGGUGACUUUCAUCUGUCUCUGUCUCUCUCUCCCUUUCUUUUGAGACAGAAUUGCUAAAUCACUAAGUUGCCCAUGCUGGCCUCAAACUUGCAAUCCCUCACCUCAGCUUGCCUCACAGGCACAGAAUGAGAUUGCUCAGAUUAUAUGUUUGCUAACUACAUUGCAUCAGUCUUUGUUGCCAGCCUGGGAGGUAGGCGAGAGACAUGCCACACUACUUAUUUGACAGACAAAGACACUGGGGCUUAGAGAGGUUUCUAAGCAGGCAGGCGGCACUAAGGAGAGUCCAGCAGAUCCAAGUGUCCUGCCACCUGCUCAUAGCUCUUCUGUCACAUAAGUCAGGAUGCCAAAAGUGACUGGGCCCAAGAGCCAGCCCAAAGGUCAUAUCUGGUCUCCAGACGUGCUUCAAAAUUUAAACAAACAGCAGCAGAAAAACGGAGUUCAUUUCCAGCGUUUAUAGGUCAGGUGUCACGGGUUUUGAACUCCACAUCUGUAUUUUCUCCGGAGGACUAGACGGUGAACCUGCCUCCCUGGUGGCCAGAGCUGGGCAGUGACUCUCCCCUGUUGGCAAGGCUGCAGAUGAGACUCACACACAUGAGCUCCCGGGUUGCUCAUUAGAUUCUCCAGUCCUGGAGAGCUUGCCACUGGUCCUGAAAGCCCACUGUAUUAGGUGGAAUACACCAGGGGCAAACUGGUGCCUGAGACAAGGUUGGGUAUUAAGCAGCUCCCAUGGGGAGGGAGGACGGGGCCCCCAGGAGCACGUCUGCCCAGGGACAUGAUAUCAAGCAAAGUCCCACCACAUUUGUGUCACGGAACUACUAUAAGGACGUUCCACAAACUGAGUGGCUUACAAAACAGAAAUUUACCAUCUCUCGGUGCCAAAGGCUGGAAGCAGGGGGUUGGCAGGCCCUGGCUCCCUCUGCACUUGCCCUCGGCCACUCUCUUAGCUGCUAUAGUCCCCAGGCUUGUGGCAGCAUAACAUCCGCAUUUGCUUGGCGUCACCCUCGGGGUGCUGUCUGUCACCUUUGUACCAGGAUACUUGCCCUACUCCAGUAUGGCUUCACUUUAACUGAUCCACAUCUAUGAUGACCCAGUGACUCUCCACCAGGGUCCCAUCUUAAGGGACUAGGGCUUAAGGUUUCAACAUAAACUUGGGGGCUGGGAGGGCACAAUUUAGCCCAAAUCAGGGGACUGUGGCUCUCUCCACAUGGGGCUCAAGACACACCUCGGAGUCUCUGCUGGAGGAGGAAGUUGGAGUGUUUAUACUCUGCACCAUUGGUCACUGGUUAAGGGCCAUGCCCAGCAGGAACAAGAAUUCCCAGGCGGUUGGAGUCGCUUCCAAUGUUGGUCUUCUGUAAAGUGGCUAGCGGAUGAAAGCUCACCGGGAUCUGUUGUGUAUGGAGAAGGUAAAGGCACCCAAGGCCGUGGGCACUGCUGCAGAGCCACCAUAGACCACUGAAGAUGGGCUCUGCCCUUCACCACCAACCUGCUUGGCUUGCAUUGACCGCGAUGACCCUAAUUGAGUCACUGGCCUCUCAGUGCUUUUUUCCCUCCCUAUUCCAGCUACCCAGAUUGGGAAUGGAGCUCCUGGAAAGAAGAUCAGUGAUACCCUCUGCUGUGGUUUGAAUGUGUACCCUCAAAAGUCCAUGCAUUGGACAUUUAAUCAUCUUUCAUGGUAAUUGCAGGCAAGGUCUUUGGAAGAUAAGUAGGACUAGAUGUGAUCCUAAGAAGUGGAAGAGAGACCCACAAGAGCAGGCUUGCACUGUCUCACUGUGUGAUGCUGUCUGCCCUAUUAUGACACAGCAGGAAAUCUGCAGACAGUUUUUCUCACAAGAUGCUAAAGCCUUGCUUUUGAACUUCCUAGCCUCUAGAAACAGGAGCCAAAUCUUAAGGAACUGGAGCUUAGGAUUUCAAAUAAAUUUCUGUUGUUUAUUUAGAAGGUUAGGAGCCAAAUAAACUUCUGUUGUUUAUAAACUA